rnacentral:lncRNA from 7 species
CUCCGGUUCAGCUUACCACUAGGUCAAUGAACUGAAUCCGUCAUGUCACAGUUUCCCUAAUCCCUACCCUAAAAAUUUAGGGGAUCCUGUUUUCCUUUCCCUGACAAAUCAGCUUAAUUGACUUAGCGCUGUGUACUGAACACACGAUGCUCAAGCUCCCCAUUCCAUACCAUGCCCAUUUUUCGUGUAAUUGUGCUAAACUUUAUACAGUACUAAUAAAGUGUAAGUGCCAGGCACUACAGUUGACAGUUGUUGUUUCAUACAUAUUCAAUUUA